rnacentral:rRNA from 1 species
AUUGAACGCUAGCGGGAUGCCUUACACAUGCAAGUCGAACGGCAGCACGGACUUCGGUCUGGUGGCGAGUGGCGAACGGGUGAGUAAUGUAUCGGAACGUGCCCAGUAGCGGGGGAUAACUACGCGAAAGCGUAGCUAAUACCGCAUACGCCCUACGGGGGAAAGCAGGGGAUCGUAAGACCUUGCACUAUUGGAGCGGCCGAUAUCGGAUUAGCUAGUUGGUGAGGUAAUGGCUCACCAAGGCGACGAUCCGUAGCUGGUUAGAGAGGACGACCAGCCACACUGGGACUGAGACACGGCCCAGACUCCUACGGGAGGCAGCAGUGGGGAAUUUUGGACAAUGGGGGAAACCCUGAUCCAGCCAUCCCGCGUGUGCGAUGAAGGCCUUCGGGUUGUAAAGCACUUUUGGCAGGAAAAAAACGGCGCGUGCUAAUACCAUGCGCAACUGACGGUACCUGCAGAAUAAGCACCGGCUAACUACGUGCCAGCAGCCGCCGUAACAC